rnacentral:rRNA from 1 species
CGGCCCCAGUGGCGGACGGGUGGGUAACGCGUGGGCAACCUGCCUCGCACUGGGGGAUAACACUUAGAAAUAGGUGCUAACACCGCAUAGCGGGCGGGGGCGCAUGCCCCUGCCCUGAAAACCCAGGUGGUGCGAGAUGGGCCCGCGUCUGAUUAGCUUGUUGGCAGGGUAACGGCCUACCAAGGCGACGAUCAGUAGCCGGCCUGAGAGGGUGGACGGCCACAUUGGGACUGAGACACGGCCCAGACUCCUACGGGAGGCAGCAG